rnacentral:rRNA from 1 species
AGUGAACGCUGGCGGCAGGCCUAACACAUGCAAGUCGAGCGGCAGCGGGCUGUAGCAAUACAGUGCCGGCGAGCGGCGGACGGGUGAGGAAUACAUCGGAAUCUACCUUGUCGUGGGGGAUAACGUAGGGAAACUUACGCUAAUACCGCAUACGAACUACGGUUGAAAGCGGAGGACCGCAAGGCUUCGCGCGAUUGGAUGAGCCGAUGUCGGAUUAGCUAGUUGGCGGGGUAAUGGCCCACCAAGGCGACGAUCCGUAGCUGGUCUGAGAGGAUGAUCAGCCACAUUGGGACUGAGACACGGCCCAAACUCCUACGGAGGCAGCAGUGGGGAAUAUUGGACAAUGGGCGCAAGCCUGAUCCAGCCAUGCCGCGUGAGUGAUGAAGGCCUUAGGGUUGUAAAGCUCUUUUGUCCGGGAAGAUAAUGACUGUACCGGAAGAAUAAGCCCCGGCUAACUUCGUGCCAGCAGCCGCGGUAAU